ensembl:lncRNA CASP4LP caspase 4 like, pseudogene
CAGUCUGAGCCUUUUUUCAGUGCUGUAAGAAAGGACGGAGGCUGUUAUCUAUGGCAGAUCUAUCCAAUAAAGGAGAGAAAGGACCGCAUACGCCUGGUUCUCAUCAUAUGCAAUAAAGAGUUUGACCAUCUGCCUCCAAGAAAUGGGGCUGACUUUGCCAUCAUGGAGAUGAAGAAGCUGCUUGAGGAUCUGGGUUACAGUGUGGAUGUAGAAGAGAAUCUGACAGCCAGGCAAACCAUGGGGAACAGUGGGUCAGAGACUGUCCAGCAUCUUUGGGAGUCAUGUCUUCACAGUCACCUAAGAACCUGGAGGAUGCAGUUUGCAAGACAUACCAGAGAAGGACUUCAUUGUUUUCUGCUCUUCAACCUCAUGUAUACGUCUUUUGGUGGUAUUAAGUGAUUUGUGGGCCUGAGGCUACCUUUGAAUGAUUCUACCAAAUCAAGAAUCCCUAAGAAACAAUGAUCCGAGGGAAUGUUGUGUGCUCUCCCAUAUUUUACAUGAUCUUAGAUGUGAUGUGAAAACAGAUUCCUUCCCCCUCCCACACCCACGUUUUUAAAAAUUGUACUUUUCUUAUAAGUGUUACAAUUUAAAGCCAAAGGCAUACCAAAUAUUAAAGCAACACAACAUAAGGAAUCCCAUUCACCACACACCAUUUAAACACAAAUGAUGGAUUCUGUUAUUUAUCAAACCCAUUUAAUGUUUUGUGUAGUGUUUUCAUGGAUUCCAGGAAUGGCUUCCCUUUCUCAAAUGAUCAAUUUCAAGUCUUAUUCUCCAUAUUUCCCAUCUGAUUCCACUAUGAGCAGUGCCAUUGCAUGCCCUACUAGAACUGUGGAUACCCUUUAAAACAAGUAGAAGAUGAUAGGGUGGGACUCAUUACGUCUAAUCUUGGGGAACACUGAUAACGUGUCCAGGAGAGACAGCACAAGGGGCUCCAUCUUCAUCACACAACUCAUCGCAUGCUUCCAGAGAUAUUCCUGGCGCUGCCACCUAGAGGAAGUAUUUUGGAAGGUUCAGCAAGCAUUUGAAAGUCCGGAGGCAACAGUCCAAAUGCCCACCAUAGAACGAGUGUCCAUGACAAGAUAUUUCUACCUCUUUCCUGGCAAUUGAAAAUGGUUAAGCAUUGAGAGUUGUUGGUGGUGUAUGAAAUAAAUGAAAGUGUGAUAUUGGAGGAAACCACAAGCAGCCCAGCCCUCCUUUAUCAACUUCAAGAAACACCUUUACUAGUACAGAUUGAAUGCUUAACAUUUUGUAUUUCAAUAAAGGUGAAGACAAAUGAA